rnacentral:rRNA from 1 species
AGUGAACGCUGGCGGUAGGCCUAACACAUGCAAGUCGAACGGCAGCACAGUAAGAGCUUGCUCUUACGGGUGGCGAGUGGCGGACGGGUGAGGAAUACAUCGGAAUCUACUUUUUCGUGGGGGAUAACGUAGGGAAACUUACGCUAAUACCGCAUACGACCUACGGGUGAAAGCAGGGGAUCUUCGGACCUUGCGCGAUUGAAUGAGCCGAUGUCGGAUUAGUUAGUUGGCGGGGUAAAGGCCCACCAAGGCGACGAUCCGUAGCUGGUCUGAGAGGAUGGUCAGCCACACUGGAACUGAGACACGGUCCAGACGCCUACGGGAGGCAGCAGUGGGGAAUAUUGGACAAUGGGCGCAAGCCUGAUCCAGCCAUACCGCGUGGGUGAAGAAGGCCUUCGGGUUGUAAAGCCCUUUUGUUGGGAAAGAAAAGCAGCAGGUUAAUACCCCGCUGUUCUGACGGUACCCAAAGAAUAAGCACCGGCUAACUUCGUG